UCCUACGGGAGGCAGCAGUGAGGAAUAUUGGGCAAUGGGCGCAAGCCUGACCCAGUAAUGCCGCGUGAAGGAUGAAGGUUUUCGGAUUGUAAACUUCUUUUGUCAAGGACGAUAGUGACGGUACUUGACGAAUAAGCCACGGCUAACUACGUGCCAGCAGCCGCGGUAAU
rnacentral:rRNA from 1 species